GUCGGAUUAGCUAGUUGGUAGGGUAAAGGCCUACCAAGGCGACGAUCCGUAGCUGGUCUGAGAGGAUGAUCAGCCACACUGGAACUGAGACACGGUCCAGACUCCUACGGGAGGCAGCAGUGGGGAAUUUUGGACAAUGGGGGCAACCCUGAUCCAGCCAUUCCGCGUGAGUGAAGAAGGCCUUCGGGUUGUAAAGCUCUUUCGGCAGGAACGAAACGGUGUGGGCCAAUACCCUGCAUCAAUGACGGUACCUGAAGAAGAAGCACCGGCUAACUACGUGCCAGCAGCCGCGGUAAUACGUAGGGUGCGAGCGUUAAUCGGAAUUACUGGGCGUAAAGCGUGCGCAGGCGGUUGUGUAAGACAGGUGUGAAAUCCCCGGGCUUAACCUGGGAACUGCGCUUGUGACUGCACGACUAGAGUGUGGCAGAGGGGGGUGGAAUUCCACGUGUAGCAGUGAAAUGCGUAGAGAUGUGGGAGGAACGCCGAUGGCGAAGGCAGCCCCCUGGGUUAACACU
rnacentral:rRNA from 1 species